GACGAACGCUGGCGGCGUGCUUAACACAUGCAAGUCGAGCGGAAAGGCCCUUCGGGGUACUCGAGCGGCGAACGGGUGCGUAACACGUGAGUAACCUGCCCCAGACUUUGGGAUAACCCUCGGAAACGGGGGCUAAUACCGGAUACGACACAGCUUCGCAUGGGGUCUGUGUGGAAAGUUUUUCGGUUUGGGAUGGGCUCGCGGCCUAUCAGCUUGUUGGUGGGGUUAUGGCCUACCAAGGCGACGACGGGUAGCCGGCCUGAGAGGGCGACCGGCCACACUGGGACUGAGACACGGCCCAGACUCCUACGGGAGGCAGCAGUGGGGAAUAUUGCACAAUGGGCGGAAGCCUGAUGCAGCGACGCCGCGUGAGGGAUGACGGCCUUCGGGUUGUAAACCGCUUUCAGCAGGGACGAAGCGUAAGUGACGGUACCGGCAGAAGAAGCGCCGGCCAACUACGUG
rnacentral:rRNA from 1 species